AGGAACUAGAUGUCUGUUGCCUCAGGUAGCUGACAAUUAGUGGAAGACAGGGAAUUAAUGGCUUACCCUGACUCCUGACAAACAAAACCUCCUUCAUAAGAAUUCCGGGGAAUGCUGAGGUUAGUGGGUUAUUUUGUUUGUUGGUUUUGUUUUGCUUUGUUUUUUUUUUAUACCUAACAGCAGCUACUUGGGGUGGGGAUGGGUGUCUGCUUUGGAACUAACACCAAUCAGCUGUUUGAGUAAACAACUUUCCUCUAUUUAUAGAGACAAGUUGAGCAAGGAACAGUUACAAUGUACUUGCUGAAGUCACAUACCAAGUACACAUUACAACAACCACAGAAAUCUGGGUAUCUUGAUGCUUGGUCCUGCAUACCUUGGUUUUGGAAACCUGACUGGGGCAGUGAGGACAUGAAAGAACAGAUGCACAUUUCAAAAAGAUAGGAUCAGUUGGGAUAUACCUCCUCUAAUGGAGCACACCUACAAUUCAACAACCCAGAACCUCAGUGUGCUUAUUAGGUACAACACAGGGGGAAGAUAGUCACAGUAAGAGUUCUCUGUAGGUAAGCAAUCUCAGGCUUUCCUGAAGGGGAAAGUUGCAUGAUUCACAAACACUUGUACUCACACACAUGGUCAACAUUCACACUUGGACCUGAUGGAGGAUUUGUCAUUCCUCUGAACCACUCUUAUAUGGAAGCGGAAAGUUGUACCAUCUGUAUGGGUCUGAGGCACGGAUGCUUAAUGUGGUUGUGCCCACAUCAAACAAUUCAGUACCUUAUCCACUCUUACAUGAUCAUUCAAUCUUCCUUGGCUCUUCAUAUCUUUGCUCCAUCCUGACAUUGUAUCUCAUCACCUUAAGACCUAUUCCAUAAAAUCCAGAGCUCUCAAUCUUUGGAAAAAAUAGUUGAAGAAAGACCCAAUAAUAAAUAAACCUCUAAACUAAAAGGCUGAUGCAGCCUGAAGGCUCUAAAUCCUGUGAUGUCUCAGCUGUCAACCUUCUUCAAAAUUACCUCUAUUGAAAGAGUCACCCUGCACAAGUUCAUCUUCAUUGUUAGGGUCUCACAGCCAGUGGCUGAUUCACAGAAAGGAUUAUUCUGAGUGUCAUUCAAGGUUUGUGGCCUUUUGUGGAAUUUCUUGGAAACUGCAUUAUCUUCCUCUACUUGAUUGUGACUUCUUCCCUGUCAUCUGACAGGUGUUUGUCCCUAAAGCAACAUUUAAUACACAUCUGGAAGUUAAGACUUUCUCUCAUAUGGAGCAGUCUGACCCACAUAAUAGAUGCUAAACUCUAUUUCAGAUCCCGCUUCCUUGGAAUUUUAACCUAAGGCAUGCUACAAUUUAAGCAAAAAUUUAGUCUGCCAAGUGCUAACAUCAGAAAAUCAAUAAGAGGUAAAUUCUAUUGUAAUACAGAGGGUAAUGGAAGCAUUUUUUUUUUUUUACUGUUUAAGUUAUAAACAAGAAAUCAAAGUCUUGCUAGUUUCCAUUCCAACAAGAUGAUUAUAUAAAAGCUAGAAAAUUAAAAAACAAACAAAACCAAACAAACAAACACUUCUAAUAGACUUGUAAGUACAGUCUGGAAUGAUGCAUAGAGAUAUAACACCAUUCAGAAUGUGUAUGAUGGUUAGUGUUAAUUGUCAAUUUGACUGGAUUUAGUAUUAUUGGAAAAUGGGCCUUUAGAGAUAAUCUUGAUUGUGUUAAUUGAGAUGGAUAAAUUUAGACCCUGUGUGUGCCACUAUUUGCUAGCUGACAUCCUGGACUGCACCAAUGGAAAAGGACAACUGAUCAGAAAUGUGCAGUCUGUUUCAUGACUGUGGAUAGGACGAGCUUGACACCUCAAAUUUCAAGUAUCAUUUUUACUUUUCUGACGUGAUAGGCUAUAACCUUAAAUUGUGAACCCAAAUAAAUCUAUUCUCUUACAGCCAUUUCUGCCAGAGCAUUUUAUUAUAAG
rnacentral:lncRNA from 1 species